CAGUCGCCACGGUAAUACGUAGGGUGCAAGCGUUAAUCGGAAUUACUGGGCGUAAAGCGUGCACAGGCGGUUAUAUAAGUCAGAUGUGAAAUCCCCGGGCUCAACCUGGGAACUGCAUUUGAGACUGUAUGGCUAGAGUGUGUCAGAGGGGGGUAGAAUUCCACGUGUAGCAGUGAAAUGCGUAGAUAUGUGGAGGAAUAUCGAUGGCGAAGGCAGCCCCCUGGGAUAACACUGACGCUCAUGCACGAAAGCGUGGGGAGCAAACAGGAUUAGAUACCCCUGUAGUCCCUGUCUCUUAUAC
rnacentral:rRNA from 1 species